UCCUAAGAGUCGGAUACUCUCACUGUUGACAUUGUUACUUCUCAAAGAGGGAAGGAGGGAGCGAAUCUUGCUUUUCAGGCCUCAGGACAGGACAAAAUGGACAAAAUGUACCAAAAUGGCAGCCUCAAGGCUGGAUUUUAUACCCUCUUGACACUAUUUCCCUUUGGGGCCUCAGGUUUGUCCCUGAACUUGAGUUUUCUCUCCUCUUUCCAACUCUAGGUGAUGCUCUUUGAAAUACACACUGGGAAAGGCAGUUCAGGCCGGGAAGCCAAGCUACAUUCCCUUCUGCUGGGCCUCGUCCUGGCUGGGCUUUGGGCAGCAACAUUCUCUGUCACAGAAGCCAGGGACCGGGUUAUGGCGAGGGUGCUCUGAAUGCCAAGAAGAGAGGAUGGAGAGGACUCGGGAUUUUCU
rnacentral:lncRNA from 1 species